rnacentral:rRNA from 1 species
UACGGAGGGUGCAAGCGUUAUCCGGAUUUACUGGGUUUAAAGGGUGUGUAGGCGGGUCUUUAAGUCAGUGGUGAAAUCUCCGAGCUCAACUUGGAAACUGCCAUUGAUACUAUUGAUCUUGAAUUUUGUUGAGGUAGGCGGAAUAUGUCAUGUAGCGGUGAAAUGCAUAGAUAUGACAUAGAACACCAAUUGCGAAGGCAGCUUACUACAACAACGAUUGACGCUGAGGCACGAAAGCGUGGGGAUCAAACAGG